CCUACGGGAGGCAGCAGUGAGGAAUAUUGGUCAAUGGUCGCAAGACUGAACCAGCCAUGCCGCGUGCAGGAAGACGGUCCUAUGGAUUGUAAACUGCUUUUAUACAGGAAGAAACCCUCCCACGUGUGGGAGCUUGACGGUACUGUAGGAAUAAGGAUCGGCUAACUCCCUGCCAGCAGCCGCGGUAAU
rnacentral:rRNA from 1 species